AGGCAUAGUUAUCACUUAUUUCCUCACUUUAUUUUAUUUCUACGACUCUUUCCCUCUCUCUUUGCUUCGGCUGAUGGUCAAUCCAUGCUCCAUGGCAGGGAGAAGCUCUCUCCCUCCAGCUCUUUGC